rnacentral:piRNA from 1 species
AACUCUUCACUUUUCCCUUUAAG